rnacentral:rRNA from 1 species
GCCAGCAGUUCGGCUGGCGACUCUAAAGGGAACUGACCGGUGUUAAACCGGAGGAAGGUGGGGAUGACGUCAAGUCCUCAUGGCCUUUAUGACCAGGGCUACACACGUACUACAAUGGCCGAUACAAAGGGCAGCGACACUGCGAGGUGAAGCCAAUCCCGUAAAAAUCGGUCUCAGUCCGGAUUGGAGUCUGCAACUCGACUCCAUGAAGUUGGAAUCGCUAGUAAUCGUGGAUCAGCAUGCCACGGUGAAUACGUUCCCGGGCCUU